AUUGAACGCUGGCGGCAUGCUUUACACAUGCAAGUCGAACGGUAACAGGGUGCUUGCACCGCUGACGAGUGGCGAACGGGUGAGUAAUGCGUCGGAACGUGCCGAGUAGUGGGGGAUAACGCAGCGAAAGUUGUGCUAAUACCGCAUACGUACUGAGGUAGAAAGUGGGGGACCUUCGGGCCUCACGCUAUUCGAGCGGCCGACGUCUGAUUAGCUAGUAGGUGAGGUAAAGGCUAACCUAGGCGACGAUAAGUAGCGGGUCUGAGAGGAUGCUCCGCCACACUGGGACUGAGACACGGCCCAGAAGCCUACGGGAGGCAGCAGUGGGGAAUUUUGGACAAUGGGCGAAAGCCUGAUCCAGCCAUGCCGCGUGUCUGAAGAAGGCCUUCGGGUUGUAAAGGACUUUUGUCGGGGAGGAAAUCCCCAGCGUUAAUACCGCUGGGGGAUGACAGUACCUGAAGAAUAAGCACCGGCUAACUACGUGCCAGCCGCCGCGGUAA
rnacentral:rRNA from 1 species